UACGAAGGGGGCUAGCGUUGCUCGGAAUCACUGGGCGUAAAGCGCACGUAGGCGGAUUUUUAAGUCAGGGGUGAAAUCCUGGAGCUCAACUCCAGAACUGCCUUUGAUACUGAGGAUCUUGAGUUCGGGAGAGGUGAGUGGAACUGCGAGUGUAGAGGUGAAAUUCGUAGAUAUUCGCAAGAACACCAGUGGCGAAGGCGGCUCACUGGCCCGAUACUGACGCUGAGGCACGAAAGCGUGGGGAGCAAACAGGG
rnacentral:rRNA from 1 species